rnacentral:lncRNA from 1 species
AUUUUGUCAAACAAGAUGAGAGAUUGUCAUCUAAUAUGUGCGCAUAAACACAUAUUUCAUUUGGUUUGAAGCUUUAUUGAUUUGCAAGAGAAUCAUCAUUUACUAAUGAAUCUAUACUUAUAUGUCUGUAUGCAUGCAUGCAUGUUAUGUAUUAAAUGAAACUUGUGUCAGAGUGAAAACAAGUAGUUUAGCAAACUGCAUUUGUUUACUAGGUGUAGGUUAAAUUUGACGCGCCAAAUGCAUAAUCUUUAUUUACAAGAAGCGAGUUAAAUUUGAUACAGAAAAUAUACAGCAUGCGCAUCAUACUAUGAUUUGUAUGCAUGUAUCUUUUAAGAGACGUUGCGAUGCCAGCAAUGCAUAUGAGAUAUUAGAAAUUUUCAAGAUACGGCAAACAAUGCCAAGGUAAUUUACAAUUUUGGGCCAGCAUUGUACCAAAGCAACACCAAACGUUCCUCACAGUUUCGUCCCAAGUAGAGCUCUCCUGAUCAUCAAUAUACAGAGGAAGAAAAAUGUCAACAUGCAAUUUAAUUAUCGUGAGAACCGGUCACUUUGGAUCCGGUUCAUCUUGAAGCCGGCAUCCAUUGCCGACUUCACCGGAAAAACAAAAAAGAAAAAAAUUGAGAAAGACCCCCUAAGGGACUCUGUUUCUCCCUCUCCCACGAUCGAUGAAGCAGGGAGAUCGGAUUGAUUUCACGCACCCAUGGGAAGGAGUCCAGAUUGAUCACGCCGGCGAGAUCCGGCCUUAUCCGAGGAGGAAUCGAUGCCAUCCCUCCUCUGUUUAAACCCCAUACCUCUCAGUAGAAUCCUCACCGAAACCCCUAUCACCCUCUUUCUUCUUCUUCUUCCCCGUCUCCGGCGGCCACCGCGUGAUCGUGCCGAGCGCCGCCACUUCCUCUAGAAACCCUAACAUACCUGUGGCGUGGGACUUCGGGUGAGAGGAUCGCUGAUUUCCGCCGCCAGCCGCUGUCACAGCCGUUGUCUCCGGUGAGAUCCCUUCUUUCCUCUUUUCUUCCAGUCCAUGGGUUGCUGCCAUGGUUUAAAGGGCAGUGCCCUUUUUCCCUCUUUUCUUCUCGGAUAUUCGGUCGCCGUCGGUCGGAUUUUCCCCUGGGCAUCGUCGCGCCGCCGUCGUCGGCUGAUCCGGUUGCCUGGCAGCCAACCAACCCCCCCGGUCACCCUAAAACUCGAGAGCUUGGGUUCGGUCAAGAGAAUAAGAAAGAAGAAAGGAAGGAAGAG